GAUGAAGAACGUAGCGAAAUGCGAUAAGUAAUGUGAAUUGCAGAAUUCAGUGAAUCAUCGAGUCUUUGAACGCACAUUGCGCCCCCUGGUAUUCCGGGGGGCAUGCCUGUCCGAGCGUCAUUGCCGCCCUCAAGCACGGCUUGUGUGUUGGGCCCCCGCCCCCCGGCUUCGGGGGGCGGGCCCGAAAGGCAGCGGCGGCACCGCGUCCGGUCCCCGAGCGUAUGGGGCUUCGUCACCCGCUCUGUAGGCCCGGCCGGCGCCCGCCGGCGACCCCAAUCAAUCUUUCCAGGUUGACCUCGGAUCAGGUAGGGAUACCCGCUGAACUUAAGCAUAUCAAUAAGCGGAGGA
rnacentral:misc_RNA from 1 species